GUGCUUGCUUCAGCAGCACAUAUACUAACGUUGGCACCAUACAGAGAUAAGCGUGGCCCCUACCAAGGAUGACAUGUGAAUUUGUGAAGCGUUCCAUAUUAUU